AGGGAAUCAUGAGGCCUGUCCUUCAUGGGCUCCUGGGUGAGAGAGAGGGCCUCUCUGAGGGGCAUACAGUGGCACUAGCAUGAACAGGCACAGGAGGCUGCUGAGGGGAGGAUAGCUGGAAUGAAGUGAACGGAAUAGUGCAUAUAACACAAGGAAACCAAGUGUUUGAUGUGGCAAUACCAUUUUCAUUCCAUUCCAGCCAUUACUAUGUGCCCGACCUACACAAUGAAGGUAUCACCGGCCGUCUGUGGUGGAGAGGCAGGAAGGCAGGCUGCACCCAUUACCAUCUACUGUUUUCUUAAAACAAACACCAUUAAUGAAGCAGUGCGCUGACAUCUGCAGGAAACCAACAACUAAAUGAAUGCGAGAAGCAACAUCCCAUCUCAGCCUUCCCACGCUACUGAAUCCUCCCACCACCAGUCAGUGUUGUCAAGGCGAUAUACAGUUGAUGUGCUGUAAAUUGAUUUCCGGGGAGAUGUGAUGGAUGAAUGGAAAAUGAACAUCUUCAUCAGUGACCUCUCCGCGCCGUCGUCUCAUUGCUUCUCCUCACGCCCGCCCAUGAUUGACAAGCGCGCUAACGAGCGCUGUCGCCGGUCCUGUUCUUAUUUCCCUGUGUGGGAAACACGGCGAGUCUCCGGCCCUACGGUAAUGAGCCCUACAAAGAGAAGGAGAGGACAGGAAGGAAGACUCGCCCUGAAGAGAUGGAAGACGGAAUGAAAGAAGUCCAAG
ensembl:lncRNA